rnacentral:rRNA from 1 species
UGGCGGCGUGCCUAAUACAUGCAAGUCGAGCGAAUGAUGAGGAGCUUGCUCCUCUGAUUUAGCGGCGGACGGGUGAGUAACACGUGGGUAAUCUGCCUGUAAGACGGGGAUAACUCCGGGAAACCGGGGCUAAUACCGGAUAAUAAGAGAAGAAGCAUGUCUCCUUUUUGAAAGUCGGCAUCUCGCUGACACUUACAGAUGAGCCCGCGGCGCAUUAGCUAGUUGGUGAGGUAACGGCUCACCAAGGCGACGAUGCGUAGCCGACCUGAGAGGGUGAUCGGCCACACUGGGACUGAGACACGGCCCAGACUCCUACGGGAGGCAGCAGUAGGGAAUCUUCGGCAAUGGGCGAAAGCCUGACCGAGCAACGCCGCGUGAGCGAUGAAGGCCUUCGGGUCGUAAAGCUCUGUUGUUAGAGAAGAACAAGUACGAGAGUAACUGCUCGUACCUUGACGGUACCUAACCAGAAAGCCACGGCUAACUACGUGCCAGC